UGGAGGAUUUGAUGUCAGACCGUUUU
rnacentral:piRNA from 1 species